UACGGAGGGUGCAAGCGUUAUCCGGAUUCACUGGGUUUAAAGGGUGCGUAGGCGGGCAGGUAAGUCAGUGGUGAAAUCUCCGAGCUUAACUCGGAAACUGCCAUUGAUACUAUUUGUCUUGAAUAUUGUGGAGGUAAGCGGAAUAUGUCAUGUGGCGGUGAAAUGCUUAGAUAUGACAUAGAACACCAAUUGCGAAGGCAGCUUACUACACAAUGAUUGACGCUGAGGCACGAAAGCGUGGGGAUCAAACAGG
rnacentral:rRNA from 1 species